UGAAGCUCAACUGUUACAUGAAUGGUUUGAACUAGUGUUGGAGAAGAAUAGAUUAAUGCGCUAUGAAGCUGAACUAUUGAUCAUAGCCAAAGAUAUAGAACUGGAAGAUCAUCGGAAUGACUGGAGGAGGACCGAGACAGAAAAAUAACUACUGAUGAUAACAAAAUAGAUAUUUAAGGGCCUAAAUAAUGAACAAGGGAUAUGAUGAGAAAAGAGGCAGGAGGAAGCUAACAGUAUCUUCCUGAAGGGACAGAAAGCGUGAAUAAGAUGAACUACAUUUUGAGAAGUUUUACA